rnacentral:rRNA from 1 species
AGAGUUUGAUCCUGGCUCAGGACGAACGCUGGCGGCGUGCUUAACACAUGCAAGUCGAACGGUAAGGCCCUUCGGGGUACACGAGUGGCGAACGGGUGAGUAACACGUGGGUAAUCUGCCCUGCACAUCGGGAUAAGCCUGGGAAACUGGGUCUAAUACCGAAUAGGACCACAGGACACAUGUCCUGUGGUGGAAAGCUUUUGCGGUGUGGGAUGGGCCCGCGGCCUAUCAGCUUGUUGGUGGGGUGAUGGCCUACCAAGGCGACGACGGGUAGCCGGCCUGAGAGGGUGUCCGGCCACACUGGGACUGAGAUACGGCCCAGACUCCUACGGGAGGCAGCAGUGGGGAAUAUUGCACAAUGGGCGAAAGCCUGAUGCAGCGACGCCGCGUGGGGGAUGACGGCCUUCGGGUUGUAAACCUCUUUCACCAUCGACGAAGGUCCGGGUUUUCUCGGGCUGACGGUAGGUGGAGAAGAAGCACCGGUCAACUACGUGCCAGCAGCCGCGGUAAUACGUAGGGUGCGAGCGUUGUCCGGAAUUACUGGGCGUAAAGAGCUCGUAGGUGGUUUGUCGCGUUGUUCGUGAAAUCUCACGGCUUAACUGUGAGCGUGCGGGCGAUACGGGCAGACUUGAGUACUGCAGGGGAGACUGGAAUUCCUGGUGUAGCGGUGGAAUGCGCAGAUAUCAGGAGGAACACCGGUGGCGAAGGCGGGUCUCUGGGCAGUAACUGACGCUGAGGAGCGAAAGCGUGGGGAGCGAACAGGAUUAGAUACCCUGGUAGUCC